GACGAACGCUGGCGGCGUGCCUAAUACAUGCAAGUCGAGCGAACAGACCAGGAGCUUGCUCCCCCGACUUUAGCGGCCGACGGAAGCGUCACACGUGGUUAGCCUACCUCUCAGACUGGGAUACCAUUGGGAAACCGGAGCUUAUUCCGGAUAAUAUAUUGCACCGCAUUGUUCCAUAGUUAAAUUCGCUUUUUCUUUCACUUAUAGACUGCUACGCGCCGCAUCAACUAGUUGGUAAGGUAACGGCUUAGCAAGGCUACGAUGCGUAGCCGACCCGAGAGGGAGAUCGCACACACUGGAACUGAGACAGGGCACAGACUCCUACAGGAGGCAGCAGUAGGGAAUCUUACGCAAUGGGGGAGUGGCUGACGUAGCAAAGCCGCGUAAAUCAUGAUCGAGUAAGGACGCUAAAGCGCUGUAAUCAGUAGAGAAGAAAUGCGUAAGUAACUGGGAACAUAUUGACGGUACCGGGUCAGAAAGCCACGGCUAACUACGUG
rnacentral:rRNA from 1 species